rnacentral:rRNA from 1 species
UACAGAGGUCCCAAGCGUUGUUCGGAUUCACUGGGCGUAAAGGGUGCGUAGGUGGUGGGGUAAGUUUGAUGUGAAAGCUCCGGGCUUAACCCGGAAAUGGCAUUGAAUACUAUCUCGCUUGAGGGUUGGAGGGGAGACUGGAAUUCUUGGUGUAGCAGUGAAAUGCGUAGAUAUCAAGAGGAACACCAGCGGCGAAGGCGAGUCUCUGGACAACUCCUGACACUGAGGCACGAAAGCUAGGGGAGCAAACAGG